ACAGCAGUCGCCACGGUAAUACGAAGGGUGCAAGCGUUACUCGGAAUUACUGGGCGUAAAGCGUGCGUAGGUGGUGGUUUAAGUCCGUUGUGAAAGCCCUGGGCUCAACCUGGGAAUUGCAGUGGAUACUGGGUCACUAGAGUGUGGUAGAGGAUAGUGGAAUUUCCGGUGUAGCAGUGAAAUGCGUAGAGAUCGGAAGGAACAUCUGUGGCGAAGGCGACUAUCUGGGCCAACACUGACACUGAGGCACGAAAGCGUGGGGAGCAAACAGGAUUAGAUACCCCCGUAGUCCCUGUCUCUUAUAU
rnacentral:rRNA from 1 species